GAUGAACGCUGGCGGCGUGCCUAAUACAUGCAAGUCGAGCGAACAGACGAGGAGCUUGCUCCUCUGACGUUAGCGGCGGACGGGUGAGUAACACGUGGAUAACCUACCUAUAAGACUGGGAUAACUUCGGGAAACCGGAGCUAAUACCGGAUAACAUGUUGAACCGCAUGGUUCAACAGUGAAAGACGGUCUUGCUGUCACUUAUAGAUGGAUCCGCGCCGCAUUAGCUAGUUGGUAAGGUAACGGCUUACCAAGGCAACGAUGGGUAGCCGACCUGAGAGGGCGAUCGGCCACACUGGAACUGAGACACGGUCCAGACUCCUACGGGAGGCAGCAGUAGGGAAUCUUCCGCAAUGGGCGAAAGCCUGACGGAGCAACGCCGCGUGAGUGAAGAAGGUCUUCGGAUCGUAAAACUCUGUUAUUAGGGAAGAACAAAUGUGUAAGUAACUAUGCACGUCUUGACGGUACCUAAUCAGAAAGCCACGGCUAACUACGUG
rnacentral:rRNA from 1 species